UACCGCAUAUGAAUAUCGGCUCCUCAUGCUUUUGCAAGAUGGAAUCUAUAAUAUGGUAGAAUAAUAAAGGAGUUCUCAGGGCUGGCAAUGUUACAUUAGCUGUGGAGUAGCUCUGUGUUUCUCCUACAUUU
ensembl:snoRNA